rnacentral:rRNA from 1 species
GAGUUUGAUCCUGGCUCAGAACGAACGCUGGCGGCAGGCCUAACACAUGCAAGUCGAGCGAGACCUUCGGGUCUAGCGGCGGACGGGUUAGUAACGCGUGGGAAUGUGCCCUUCUCUGCGGAAUAGCCACUGGAAACGGUGAGUAAUACCGCAUACGCCCUUCGGGGGAAAGAUUUAUCGGAGAAGGAUCGGCCCGCGUUAGAUUAGAUAGUUGGUGGGGUAAUGGCCUACCAAGUCUACGAUCUAUAGCUGGUUUUAGAGGAUGAUCAGCAACACUGGGACUGAGACACGGCCCAGACUCCUACGGGAGGCAGCAGUGGGGAAUCUUAGACAAUGGGCGCAAGCCUGAUCUAGCCAUGCCGCGUGUGUGAUGAAGGUCUUAGGAUCGUAAAGCACUUUCGCCAGGGAUGAUAAUGACAGUACCUGGUAAAGAAACCCCGGCUAACUCCGUGCCAGCAGCCGCGGUAAUACGGAGGGGGUUAGCGUUGUUCGGAAUUACUGGGCGUAAAGCGUACGUAGGCGGAUCAGAAAGUAAGGGGUGAAAUCCCAGGGCUCAACCCUGGAACUGCCUCUUAAACUCCUGGUCUUGAGUUCGAGAGAGGUGAGUGGAAUUCCAAGUGUAGAGGUGAAAUUCGUAGAUGUUUGGAGGAACACCAGUGGCGAAGGCGGCUCACUGGCUCGAUACUGACGCUGAGGUACGAAAGUGUGGGGAGCAAACAGGAUUAGAUACCCUGGUAGUCCACACCGUAAACGAUGAAUGCCAGUCGUCGGGCAGUAUACUGUUCGGUGACACACCUAACGGAUUAAGCAUUCCGCCUGGGGAGUACGGUCGCAAGGUUAAAACUCAAGGAAUU